rnacentral:lncRNA from 1 species
GGGAAGGGUCAGCGGGAGGCCUGAGGGCGCCGGGCGCUGCGGCAGGCGGGCCCGGGGUCCAGCCGAGAGGGUCCGGGCGCCAGGCAACGCGAUUCGCGCGGGGGUGAACCCGGGGAGGGGGCCGGCCUCCCCGUUCUGGGACCUUUCGCUCCCCUGGGACCUGUGGCCGCCGCCCACAGACCAUGCUCCUGGGGCGCCUGACUUCCCAGCUGUUGAGGGCCGUUCCUUGGGCAGGUAGGAAGCCGCGCGGGGGCGGAUGGGAGGAUGCACACCUGGUUAGGAGUGCGGGUCUCAGCAGCUCCGCUGGGGCAGGGCCGGUGGCCACACACACACUCUUUCCCCUCUAAGCUUCCGAUGCUCACAGAGGGAACCUCAGGGGUUCAGGCCAGGAAUGAGGUGCGGGGGAUCCUCGCUGGGACGAACCUGCUGCUCCUCAACCCGACGGGCCUGUGUGGUCUCGCGAGCGGUGACCGUGGCGUCUGGUUUUCUGCAGGCGGCCGCCCGCCUUGGCCCGUCUCUGGAGUGCUGGGCAGCCGGGUCUGCGGGCCCCUUUACAGCACAUCGCCGGCCGGCCCAGGUAGGGCGGCCUCUCUCCCUCGCAAGGGGGCCCAGCUGGAGCUGGAGGAGAUGCUGGUCCCCAGGAAGAUGUCCGUCAGCCCCCUGGAGAGCUGGCUCACGGCCCGCUGCUUCCUGCC